rnacentral:lncRNA from 1 species
CAAAAACAAUAUUUGUAGACAACAUACAUAAUAUAUAAAAACAUAUUAAUAUCAUAUACAUAAUUUGAUAUAUAUAAAUAAUAUCUCUGGUUAAACCUUUACCUUUUAUAGCUAACAAGCAUUAAAAUAUUUGUGCAUAAUUAUAACAUGAAAGACUUUAAUUUGAAGAGAAUAGAUGUAGAAAAGGUAACAUGAAUAGACUAUGUUUAUGUAACCGACUUUUGACUCUGGAGUAUAUAAUUUUUCAACAGGUUACCUUUUCUGUGGUAGAACAUUCUGGUACUAGGUCAAGAAAGAGCAACUGAAAGAAGUAAAAUCAAGAUGACAACUGAUGCAACUUAUGGAAAAAUUAACAGUUUUCACAUGAUUUUGUAGUGUAUAAAAAACAAAAAACAGUUAAUUUCCCCCUAAAAAUUUACCAAUUGUAAGCAUUAUUUUUUAGUUGUUUUUACCAAUAUGUUUAACAAUAUAGUAGAAAAUUAACUGUUAAAAAAUUCUAAACUGCUGACUAAGGAGGUUGGUUAUAUGAAAAUAGUCUAUUACAAUAUACACCACAUAUGUUAACCAAUACUCCAGCAAUUGGUUAGUUUUCAUUUUGCAUUAUUUUUAUCUAUGAUACUAAGCUUCUCUAAAAAUAAACUUAUGCAAUGGGAUAUUUUCGCAGUUUUAAUAAAAUUGAGAAAGUAGCGAAAAUAAGCCAACUGAGUUGAGAGGAAAUUUCCCUCUUUCAAGAUUGAUAUUAGAUCAAUGCAAUAUUAGUUUAAUGAAACCUCCAAUUGUAACCUUCCAAGACAAUACAAGGGGCAUAACUUUUACUCUUGAACUGAAAUUUCUGCAGCAAUGAGUUGAAUUUGACCUGCAUUUCAUGGAAGUUAUUAUAAUACUGCAAAGAUUCAAAAUACUUUACUCCUAUGCAAAUUAAAAUUAUCAGCCAGAAUCUGAGUUUCGAAUGGAUAGUUGGCAUAUACAGUAACAACUAUAUAAACAUGUAUGUUUCUCUUAAAUAAAAUUCUGGGAGCAACAAAAUUUAUAAAAUUUAAAUCUAUUUUGACAUGGUAAAGCAGCUUGAUUCAGGAUUUUUACUAUAGAUUUUCUAAUUCUAUCUGAAAAAAUUUCUUUUGUAAUCUAACAGUUUUAUUAACAAAGUUUUGUUAAAAAAAAAAGAAUUGACAACUUUCAGGAAAAUUUGCCCGUGUAGAAUUAAAUGCAUUCUGGGAAAUAUUUGCAUAAGCUUCCACGAAACUGUUGUGGUUCACUUACAUGAUAUCGUAAUUAAUAAUAUUUACAACCUAUGAUGUAAUGUUGUUGACACUUUGGGGUACAAAUAAUGAAAUUGCCCAUAAUCACACAGAUUUUGAAAUGGCAAAUUAGUUAACACUUGUAGAGUUUAUGCAGUUAAAU